UGGCGUUGCUCCUAUGUCCCAUGGUC
rnacentral:piRNA from 1 species